UAAGGAAUAUUGGUCAAUGGACGGAAGUCUGAACCAGCCAUGCCGCGUGCAGGAAGACGGCCCUACGGGUUGUAAACUGCUUUUGCAGGGGAAUAAACCUCGAUACGUGUAUCGAGUUGAAUGUACCUUGAGAAUAAGGAUCGGCUAACUCCGUGCCAGCAGCCGCGGUAAUACGGAGGAUCCAAGCGUUAUCCGGAUUUAUUGGGUUUAAAGGGUGCGUAGGCGGCUUUUUAAGUCAGGGGUGAAAGACGGUAGCUCAACUAUCGCAGUGCCCUUGAUACUGAAGAGCUUGAAUGUACUUGAGGUAGGCGGAAUGUGACAAGUAGCGGUGAAAUGCAUAGAUAUGUCACAGAACACCAAUUGCGAAGGCAGCUUACUAAAGUAUGAUUGACGCUGAGGCACGAAAGCGUGGGGAUCAAACA
rnacentral:rRNA from 1 species